rnacentral:rRNA from 1 species
UACGUAGGGGGCAAGCGUUGUCCGGAAUUAUUGGGCGUAAAGAGCGCGUAGGCGGUCCGAUAAGUCGGCUGUGAAAGUCAAGGGCUCAACCCUUGAAAGCCGGCCGAUACUGUCGGACUAGAGUCCGGAAGAGGCGAGUGGAAUUCCCGGUGUAGCGGUGAAAUGCGCAGAUAUCGGGAGGAACACCAAUGGCGAAGGCAGCUCGCUGGGACGGUACUGACGCUGAUGCGCGAAAGCGUGGGGAGCAAACAGG